rnacentral:rRNA from 1 species
ACUUCCGUUAAUUGAUUAUGACGUGCUUGCACUGAAUGAGAUUUUAACACGAAGUGAGUGGCGGACGGGUGAGUAACACGUGGGUAACCUGCCCAGAAGCAGGGGAUAACACCUGGAAACAGAUGCUAAUACCGUAUAACAGAGAAAACCGCCUGGUUUUCUUUUAAAAGAUGGCUCUGCUAUCACUUCUGGAUGGACCCGCGGCGCAUUAGCUAGUUGGUGAGGUAACGGCUCACCAAGGCGAUGAUGCGUAGCCGACCUGAGAGGGUAAUCGGCCACAUUGGGACUGAGACACGGCCCAGACUCCUACGGGAGGCAGCAGUAGGGAAUCUUCCACAAUGGACGCAAGUCUGAUGGAGCAACGCCGCGUGAGUGAAGAAGGGUUUCGGCUCGUAAAGCUCUGUUGUUAAAGAAGAACGUGGGUGAGAGUAACUGUUCACCCAGUGACGGUAUUUAACCAGAAAGCCACGGCUAACUACGUGCCAGCAGCCGCGGUAAUACGUAGGUGGCAAGCGUUAUCCGGAUUUAUUGGGCGUAAAGCGAGCGCAGGCGGUCUUUUAAGUCUAAUGUGAAAGCCUUCGGCUCAACCGAAGAAGUGCAUUGGAAACUGGGAGACUUGAGUGCAGAAGAGGACAGUGGAACUCCAUGUGUAGCGGUGAAAUGCGUAGAUAUAUGGAAGAACACCAGUGGCGAAGGCGGCUGUCUGGUCUGUAACUGACGCUGAGGCUCGAAAGCAUGGGUAGCGAACAGGAUUAGAUACCCUGGUAGUCCAUGCCGUAAACGAUGAUUACUAAGUGUUGGAGGGUUUCCGCCCUUCAGUGCUGCAGCUAACGCAUUAAGUAAUCCGCCUGGGGAGUACGACCGCAAGGUUGAAACUCAAAAGAAUUGACGGGGGCCCGCACAAGCGGUGGAGCAUGUGGUUUAAUUCGAAGCUACGCGAAGAACCUUACCAGGUCUUGACAUCUUCUGCCAACCUAAGAGAUUAGGCGUUCCCUUCGGGGACAGAAUGACAGGUGGUGCAUGGUUGUCGUCAGCUCGUGUCGUGAGAUGUUGGGUUAAGUCCCGCAACGAGCGCAACCCUUAUUACUAGUUGCCAGCAUUCAGUUGGGCACUCUAGUGAGACUGCCGGUGACAAACCGGAGGAAGGUGGGGACGACGUCAAAUCAUCAUGCCCCUUAUGACCUGGGCUACACACGUGCUACAAUGGAUGGUACAACGAGUCGCGAAACCGCGAGGUUUAGCUAAUCUCUUAAAACCAUUCUCAGUUCGGACUGUAGGCUGCAACUCGCCUACACGAAGUCGGAAUCGCUAGUAAUCGCGGAUCAGCAUGCCGCGGUGAAUACGUUCCCGGGCCUUGUACACACCGCCCGUCACACCAUGAGAGUUUGUAACACCCAAAGCCGGUGGGGUAACCUUUAGGAGC